rnacentral:lncRNA from 1 species
AAUAGGGUUCCAUCAAAAUCCGUUCCUAUCAUACCGUAUGAGAUAUAGUACGAUAAGAAGUCGAGUUUAGGUUAUCUUAAGAUUUGAAGAUAUUCGACCUAUGUCAAAAGAUAUAUGGCUGAUAAAUUAGAGGAUAGAUCUGUAAUAGUUUAUUGUAUAGGAUAUCCAGAAGAAUCAAUGGGAUACUACUUCUACUUUCCACA